UGAGUAACACGUGGAUAACCUACCUAUAAGACUGGGAUAACUUCGGGAAACCGGAGCUAAUACCGGAUAAUAUAUUGAACCGCAUGGUUCAAUAGUGAAAGACGGUUUUGCUGUCACUUAUAGAUGGAUCCGCGCCGCAUUAGCUAGUUGGUAAGGUAAUGGCUUACCAAGGCAACGAUGCGUAGCCGACCUGAGAGGGUGAUCGGCCACACUGGAACUGAGACACGGUCCAG
rnacentral:rRNA from 1 species